UAUGCACAUGAAAUUAAACUUGUUGAACUCACCUCAACAUGUAUUUUACAAUCAUUUAACCCGCCAUGGGAAAAGCUGAAGUCACUGUUACAAACUCUACACCAUGCAAGAUUUUAACUCUUUUAAGACAGGGAUACACUUUCGUGUAGUCUAGUGUAAAAUGUGUCUUAUAUUUUCGCUUUUGGGGCACUCUCCCUCUGCCAUGGCGCUCCUGUUUCUAGAUACACUGAUUAGUUUGGUUCGGGAGAAGAGAUAAAAGCCCGCCCACACUGACAAUUGAUUGGUUGAUGUCCUGAAACAGGCCAAUCAGGAUGCUCUCUGUCUUACAUGCGCUAAAUGAGGCAAACACACACACAGACGCAAGGUCUCCCUCUCUGCCGUGCACGCGCUAAAUUUCAUAUUCACAUAGCUUUUCGAAAACCGGGACAUUCAGUGUCCCGGGAGAGUUGAUAAAUUUCCCGGGACAGGUUAUUAAAAAGAAGGACAAUCCCGGUAAAACCGGGACAGGUGGCAACCCUAAAACCUUUAUUUUAGUAAACUCCGUGUAUACAAACAAUGUUCUCAAUGCUCGCGUUCAUGUGUAGAGAUCCAGGUGAUACUUCAAGCAAAGUUUCAUGUUGUGUCGCGCCUUCUUAUGUUGUAAAAUAGUGGUAUUUCGGUAGCGGCGGACAGCGGCUGGAAGAACGCAUCAGGGAUCGAGUAGGCAUCACACCCUAACCAAGAUAUAUUUUUUUAAAGUAGCGUUUAUUUUCAUGACAGUCGAGAUGCGACAUGUUGUCUUUCGUAGCCCUUUACUGUAUCCCUAAUGGAGUUGGACAAAGCUACGAUAAAACCUGUUGGAAUGCGUCUUUUGCAGCGAUUUUUGUGUGAGCAUAUCAGUGAACACCCCUGACCACUCGAAAAUGUAUCAAUCAGCAACAUCAAACAGACCAUCAGAUGAGGCAAAGCGUCUGGAAGGUCCGAACCUAAGAAGGAGGUAACCUGCAACCUCCAGUGUCUCUGCACCUCCACCUACAAUCUGUAGUGUUACAAGGUCACAAAAAACAAAUGUGGAAAAUGAACACUUCCAAGUCUUUGGGGCUGUGCUGACAGCUGAAGAGGGACAUGGCCUGCACCCCAUGGCAGCUGACCUGAUGAAACGCUACCGGGAGGCAGGAGAGCCCCAAAAGUGAUGUAGGUGAACAGAGAUUGCUGCAGUCAGCACGGCAAGUCUCAGGAAUUCGUGCCAGUGAUGAACAUUUUCCUUGAGGGCUUGACGCAAUGGAAUGACAACCGGAUGGAAGAUGCAAUUAAAGGAGCAUCCUGCAUCUGGUCAUAUACUGUAGCAGUGCUAUGAGAGAGGCGGUGGACCAGCUUUGCCUUUGUCUUGGGAGGUCCUGGGAUGAGCGCUAUCACCCUCCUGUGGCAAAUUAAAUUCAUUUAAUUUCUUCUUCUGUAAUAUUCUACUAAGUUAUCUAUUUAGCAUUUGAUGCACUAGACAAAUUGUUAAAAAGGCUUUGUUUUUUAGGGCCCAAGCACCGAGACAACCUUUCUCACCCUCUGUUAGGUCUGUUGCUUCAGCCAAAGGACGGAGAACACAACCUAAAUCCAUUCACGAACAGAAAAAUUAAUCUGCUUGAAUACACCUUUAUCAGUCGGCACCAUGUGAUUCUAAAAUGAAGCUGUGAGUCUCCUCUUCCCAGGUCACAUCCUCCCAUAGACUCUCAUCAUCUAAGUUUGCAUCUUUCACAUCACUGUGCUGCUGCUCCUGUGAUUCAUCACCACCUUGGAUGAGGCCGAUGACUGUGGUGUGACAACACACUUCAAGAGUUUGAUGGAGGGGUGUUUUAAAAUCGUUGAUGUUAAGGGAGAAGAGAAGUGGAGACCGCACACAGCCCUGAGGAGCACCUGUGCUGAUGGUGCUGGAGUGUGGUACUCUGACUGGACUUCAGAAAAUAGGAAAUCUCAUCGGUUCCUAACUCCCAAGUCCGGAGGACAAUUACAGGGCACGUUCCACCCAGAAAGGUCACAGCAAUUUACACCCUGGCCACAACAUGUUCACCCCGUGACAUCUGGCAAACGAUAGUAUUGUACAGAGAUUAUACCAGAUCCAGUCUGGAUUCCACCUCCAUCAGAUGACCCAACACAUAUGGAACGAUGACACCGGCACUUCCAAGGACUUCAGACAACACCAGCGCUGGACUAUAAACUGACUAAUCUAUGAUUUUUUUUUUCAGUUUAAGAUAUUUGCUGAAUGUUACUCUAAUGCAUACAUAUAUAAAAUCGAACUAAUACAUAUGCAUUUUAUACACUAUAAAUGUUAAAACAUGUAACAAUAAAUCCAAUCUGAAUUUGAGGUUUAGAUCACAUUUAUAUGAUUUCUAUCUUUUACAUCUUCAGUUCUUUUUUAAUUUAGAUUUAAUAAUUGGUACUUUAGUUGAUCACUAAAUUACAUCAAUGGAAUAUGCAACAAUGAAUAAUAUGAAUAUUAUAUUUAUAUUAACAAGUGUAAUGUAAUGUAUGCAUAUUAACGUCAGGACAUUACUGUCAUAUUCAUUUUUUUUUUUUUUUUAGGUAUUUUGUCUUGUCUGGUUUAAAUCUUCAAAUACAGCCUCUCUUUCCCAGACAUGUCCUCUUUUUGGACCUUAAUUGGGAUAGUUAAACCAAAAAUGAAGAUUUUGUCAUCAUUUUCUCCUCCUCAUGUUGUUCUAAACCUGUAUGAAUGGGAGUAUGAAAGAUCUGACACAAAGUAAUGUAUUCCCACGUUUUUUUUUGUGGGUGAUGUUAAUAAUAUUUAGUUCACUCCAAAAUGAGUCAUUAUUGUCAUUAAAAUAUUGCCAUAUUGCUGUG